AUGGUUCUCAUAUUCGUGAUAAUAUCUGGAGUUAACUUUGGCAAUUUUGUUUAUUUUACUGGUUGGAUGAACUUGGAAGGUUUGGUGGGUAAGAUGAAACGUUUGCAUAAGAAGUUUGAUGUGUUUUUGAAUGAGGUGAUUCAAUAUCAUGUCAAGUCUGCUCAUGAACGUAAAGAGAAGCCUAGUUUUUGCUUAAUACACACUGUUAAUAGAUAUAUUUAUCCUCUGUUGUUAAACUCAGAUAGCGGCAGCAGGGCCAUCCAAAAAAUUGGAACAGAACGGAAAUGCAGAACAAAACGAUCAUCAUUUUAG